rnacentral:rRNA from 1 species
AUUGAACGCUGGCGGCAUGCCUUACACAUGCAAGUCGAACGGUAACGCGGGGCAACCUGGCGACGAGUGGUGAACGGGAGAGUAAUGCAUAGGAACGUGCCCAGUAGUGGGGGAUAGCCCGGCGACAGCCGGAUUAAUACCGCAUACGACCUACGGGUGAAAGGGGGGGAUCGCAAGACCUCUCGCCAUUGGAGCGUCCGAUGUCAGAUUAGGUAGUUGGUGGGGUAAAGGCCUACCAAGCCGACGAUCUGUAGAUGGUCUGAGAGGACGACCAGCCACACUUGGACUGAGACACGGCCCAGACUCCUACGGGAGGCAGCAGUGGGAAUUUUGGACAAUGGGCGCAAGCCUGAUCCAGCCAUGCCGCGUGCGGGAAGAAGGCCUUCGGGUUGUAAACCGCUUUUGUCAGGGAAGAAAUCUUCUGGGUUAAUACCUCGGGAGGAUGACGGUACCUGAAGAAUAAGCACCGGCUAACUACGUGCCAGCCGCCGCGGUAAGAC